rnacentral:rRNA from 1 species
ACCGAUCAGCAUACCGCGGUGCUGAAGMAGRCCUGAGGGUUGUAAAGCACUUUCAAUUGUGAAGAAAAGUUAAAGGUUAAUAACCUUUAGCCUUGACGUUAACUUUAGAAGAAGCACCGGCUAACUCCGUGCCAGCAGCCGCGGUAAUACSGAGGGUGCAAGCGUUUAUCSGAAUUACUGGGCGUAAAGCGUGCGUAGGUGGUUUGUUAAGUUAGAUGUGAAAGCCCUGGGCUCAACCUAGGAACUGCAUUUAAAACUGGCAAACUAGAGUAUAGGAGAGGAAAGUGGAAUUUCASGUGUAGCGGUGAAAUGCGUAGAUAUCUGAARGAACAUCMAUGGCGAAGGCAGCUUUCUGGACUAAUACUGACACUGAGGUACGAAAGCGUGGGUAGCAACAGGAUUAGAUCCCUGGUAUGUCCACCCGUAAAGCGAUGACAACUAGCCGUUGGGAGGUUUACCUCUUAGUGCGAAGCUAACCGCGUUAAGUUCCGC